UACGAGGGGGGCGAGCGUUGUUCGGAAUUAUUGGGCGUAAAGGGCGCGUAGGCGGUUUGGUAAGUCUGAUGUGAAAUCUAUGGGCUCAACUCAUAGUCUGCAUCGGAAACUGCCGGGCUUGAGUGUGGGAGAGGUGAGUGGAAUUCCUGGUGUAGCGGUGAAAUGCGUAGAUAUCAGGAGGAACACCUGUGGCGAAAGCGGCUCACUGGACCAUAACUGACGCUGAUGCACGAAAGCUAGGGGAGCAAACAGG
rnacentral:rRNA from 1 species